rnacentral:rRNA from 1 species
AUUAGUAGAGAAGCGUGUGAGCCAGCUGCCAAGAAAAGCCGCUAUUGUUUCAUAAGUACCCGUACCGUAAACCGACACAGGUGGAUGAGGAGAGAAUCCUAAGGCCGGCGGGAGAAGUGUUGUUAAGGAACUCGGCAAAAUGACUCCGUAACUUCGGGAGAAGGAGUGCCACAGAGAUGUGGCCGCAGAGAAAUGGCCCAAGCAACUGUUUAGCAAAAACACAGGUCUAUGCAAAACCGGAAGGUGAGGUAUAUGGGCUGACGCCUGCCCGGUGCUGGAAGGUUAAGAGGAGAGGUUAGAGCAAUCGAAGCUUUGAAUUUAAGCCCCAGUAAACGGCGGCCGUAACAAUAACGGUCCUAAGGUAGCGAAAUUCCUUGUCGGGUAAGUUCCGACCCGCACGAAAGGCGUAAUGAUUUGGGCACUGUCUCAACAACACACCCGGUGAAAUUGAAAUACCAGUGAAGAUGCUGGUUACCUGCGCCAGGACGGAAAGACCCCAUGGAGCUUUACUCCAGUUUGAUACUGGGAUUCGGUACUGUCUGUACAGGAUAGGUGGGAGGCUAGGAAAUGGUGACGCCAGUUGCCAUGGAGCCAACCUUGGGAUACCACCCUUACAGUACUGGGUUUCUAACCUGCAGCCGUAACCCGGCUGGGGGACAAUGUCUGACGGGGAGUUUGACUGGGGCGGUCGCCUCCGAAAGAGUAUCGGAGGCGCUCAAAGGUUCCCUCAGAACGGUUGGAAACCGUUCGAAGAGUGCAAAGGCAGAAGGGAGCUUGACUGCGACACCGACGGGUGGAGCAGAUACGAAAGUAGGACUUAGUGAUCCGGUGGUAUAAAGUGGGAUUGCCAUCGCUCAACGGAUAAAAGCUACCCUGGGGAUAACAGGCUUAUCACUCCCAAGAGUUCACAUCGACGGAGUGGUUUGGCACCUCGAUGUCGGCUCAUCGCAUCCUGGAGCUGUAGCAGGUUCCAAGGGUUGGGCUGUUCGCCCAUUAAAGCGGUACGCGAGCUGGGUUCAGAACGUCGUGAGACAGUUCGGUCCCUAUCCGGCGUGGGCGUAGGAUAUUUGAGAGGAGCUGUCCUUAGUACGAGAGGACCGGGAUGGACAAACCUCUGGUGUAUCUGUUGUUUUACCAAAGGCAUGGCAGAGUAGCCAAGUUUGGCAGGGAUAAACGCUGAAGGCAUCUAAGCGUGAAGCCCCCCUCAAGAUAAGAUAUCCCAUCUUCGGAGUAAGACCCCUUGAAGACUACAAGGUUGAUAGGCUUCAGGUGUAAGUGCGGUAACGCACUCAGCUGAGAAGUACUAAUAGGUCGAGGACUUAUCA